rnacentral:rRNA from 1 species
GUAGGGUGCGAGCGUUAAUCGGAAUUACUGGGCGUAAAGCGUGCGCAGGCGGUUAUGUAAGACAGAUGUGAAAUCCCCGGGCUCAACCUGGGAACUGCAUUAGUGACUGCAUAGCUGGAGUACGGCAGAGGGGGAUGGAAUUCCGCGUGUAGCAGUGAAAUGCGUAGAUAUGCGGAGGAACACCGAUGGCGAAGGCAGGUCUCUGGGCUGACACUGACGCUCAUGCACGAAAGCGUGGGGAGCAAACAGGAUUAGAUACCCUGGUAGUCCACGCCCUAAACGAUGUCGACUGGUUGUUGGGGGUUUGACACUCUCAGUAACGAAGCUAACGCGUGAAGUCGACCGCCUGGGGAGUACGGCCGCAAGGUUA